GCCCUCUCUGUACUCCUUCAUCUGCAGCAGUGUGGCGUUGUCCGGUACAGCGUCGUCACUGUUCCUUAAGGCAGGCUUACAGGCCGAACACAAAGAGCCGCCUAGUACACCCUUGAUGACGUAUCCGGCCAGAUGGUAUAGCACACAGGACUCCGCUUUUGUGGAAAUGAUUCUGCUCCUACUGCAUGAGACUGCUGCUGUUGAUGGGGAAGUGCUUUUGCCAGAAAUGGCUUAGUUGCAGGUGGUGGCUUUCUUGAGUUGCACUGAUAAGGUUGAUGCUUUCAAUGCAUUGGAAGUUCCAGCAUGUUCCAGUGAAUUCCAAUUCUUCAUGCAUUAUUGAUUUCACACACACACACACACACACACACACACACA